rnacentral:rRNA from 1 species
GAUGAACGCUGGCGGCGUGCCUAAUACAUGCCAGUCGAGCGAACAGACGAGGAGCUUGCUCCUCUGACGUUAGCGGCGGACGGGUGAGUAACACGUGGAUAACCUACCUAUAAGACUGGGAUAACUUCGGGAAACCGGAGCUAAUACCGGAUAAUAUAUUGAACCGCAUGGUUCAAUAGUGAAAGACGGUUUUGCUGUCACUUAUAGAUGGAUCCGCGCCGCAUUAGCUAGUUGGUAAGGUAACGGCUUACCAAGGCAACGGUGCGUAGCCGACCUGAGAGGGUGAUCGGCCACACCGGAACUGAGACACGGUCCAGACUCCUACGGGAGGCAGCAGUAGGGAAUCUUCCGCAAUGGGCGAAAGCUUGACGGAGCAACGCCGCGUGAGUGAUGAAGGUCUUCGGAUCGUAAAACUCUGUUAUUAGGGAAGAACAAAUGUGUAAGUAACUAUGCACGUCUUGACGGUACCUAAUCAGAAAGCCACGGCUAACUACGUG